AACGAACGCUGGCGGCAGGCUUAACACAUGCAAGUCGAACGCGAAAUCACCUUCGGGUGGUGGAGAGUGGCAGACGGGUGAGUAACGCGUGGGAAUCUACCUGAUGGUACGGAAUAACUCAGGGAAACUUGAGCUAAUACCGUAUGUGCCCGAGAGGGGAAAGAUUUAUCGCCAUCAGAUGAGCCCGCGUCGGAUUAGCUAGUUGGUGGGGUAAAAGCCCACCAAGGCGACGAUCCGUAGCUGGUCUGAGAGGAUGAUCAGCCACACUGGGACUGAGACACGGCCCAGACUCCUACGGGAGGCAGCAGUGGGGAAUAUUGGACAAUGGGCGCAAGCCUGAUCCAGCCAUGCCGCGUGAGUGAUGAAGGCCCUAGGGUUGUAAAGCUCUUUCGACGGGGACGAUAAUGACGGUACCCGUAGAAGAAGCCCCGGCUAACUUCGUG
rnacentral:rRNA from 1 species